rnacentral:rRNA from 1 species
AUUGAACGCUGGCGGCAGGCUUAACACAUGCAAGUCGAGCGGGGGAAGGUAGCUUGCUACCGGACCUAGCGGCGGACGGGUGAGUAAUGCUUAGGAAUCUGCCUAUUAGUGGGGGACAACAUCUCGAAAGGGAUGCUAAUACCGCAUACGUCCUACGGGAGAAAGCAGGGGAUCUUCGGACCUUGCGCGAAUAGAUGAGCCUAAGUCGGAUUAGCUAGUUGGUGGGGUAAAGGCCUACCAAGGCGACGAUCUGUAGCGGGUCUGAGAGGAUGAUCCGCCACACUGGGACUGAGACACGGCCCAGACUCCUACGGGAGGCAGCAGUGGGGAAUAUUGGACAAUGGGGGGAACCCUGAUCCAGCUAUGCCGCGUGUGUGAAGAAGGCCUUAUGGUUGUAAAGCACUUUAAGCGAGGAGGAGGCUACUUUAGUUAAUACCUAGAGAUAGUGGACGUUACUCGCAGAAUAAGCACCGGCUAACUCUGUGCCAGCAGCCGCAGUAA